UACGUAGGGGGCUAGCGUUGUCCGGAAUCAUUGGGCGUAAAGCGCGUGUAGGCGGCAUUGCAAGUCGGGUGUGAAAGCCCCGGGCUCAACCCGGGAAGUGCACUCGAAACUGGGAGGCUAGAGUAUCGGAGAGGUUGGUGGAAUUCUCGGUGUAGAGGUGAAAUUCGUAGAUAUCGAGAGGAACACCGGUGGCGAAGGCGGCCAACUGGACGAAUACUGACGCUGAGACUCGAAAGCGUGGGGAGCAAACAGG
rnacentral:rRNA from 1 species